UACGGAGGGUGCAAGCGUUGUCCGGAUUUAUUGGGUUUAAAGGGUGCGUAGGUGGCCUUGUAAGUCCGUGGUGAAAGCCUCUCGCUUAACGAGAGAACUGCCAUGGAUACUGCAAGGCUUGAGUCCAGACGAGGUUGGCGGAAUGGAUGGUGUAGCGGUGAAAUGCAUAGAUACCAUCCAGAACCCCGAUUGCGUAGGCAGCUGACUGAGCUGGUACUGACACUGAGGCACGAAAGCGUGGGGAGCGAACAGG
rnacentral:rRNA from 1 species